GAUAUUUAGGUGACACACUGCAGAGAUUGUCUUAUUUCUACUCCUGCUUUCAGACUGAAUGCCGCCUGGAAAAUGGAAAAACUGAACAACAAAAUCAUUUGGGAUUCCUGAACAAGGAAGGAAGAGUAGGUUUUGUUAUCACUGAAUGUAUUUCUGAAGAUUAGAACAUGGACCCAGAAGAAACAGGGGAAAUGAUCAAUACUGGGAUAGUGAUAACCAGCAUUCAAGAGAGGAGCAUCGCUGUUCAAGCAGAGGACCGGGCUGAGAUUAGUAUAGUGGGCACAAACACUGUGCCUGAGCUGACAACAAUCACAGCUACACUUCAGAGCACAGCUGCCAGUAAUGAAGACACCAUUGCUUCUGAAUCCACAUUUGACACACCACCUGAAAAUACCAUGAUGUCCCAUCCUAACUUAAACACCAUAUCUCAAACCCACAUUAGCACCACCCUUGAGAACAAUACAGCUGCUUUGGGAGAAACAGCUUCCACU